rnacentral:rRNA from 1 species
AGAGUUUGAUCCUGGCUCAGGAUGAACGCUGGCGGCGUGCCUAACACAUGCAAGUCGAACGAAGCACUUUUACUCGAUUCUUCGGAUGAUGGUAAUAGUGACUGAGUGGCGGACGGGUGAGUAACGCGUGGGUAACCUGCCUCAUACAGGGGGAUAACAGUUAGAAAUGACUGUAUACCGCAUAAGACCACGGAGUCGCAUGACUCAGUGGGAAAAACUCCGGUGGUAUGAGAUGGACCCGCGUCUGAUUAGGUAGUUGGUGGGGUAACGGCCUACCAAGCCGACGAUCAGUAGCCGACCUGAGAGGGUGACCGGCCACAUUGGGACUGAGACACGGCCCAAACUCCUACGGGAGGCAGCAGUGGGGAAUAUUGCACAAUGGGGGAAACCCUGAUGCAGCGACGCCGCGUGAGCGAAGAAGUAUUUCGGUAUGUAAAGCUCUAUCAGCAGGGAAGAAAAUGACGGUACCUGACUAAGAAGCACCGGCUAAAUACGUGCCAGCAGCCGCGGUAAUACGUAUGGUGCAAGCGUUAUCCGGAUUUACUGGGUGUAAAGGGAGCGUAGACGGCUGUGUAAGUCUGAAGUGAAAGCCCGGGGCUCAACCCCGGGACUGCUUUGGAAACUAUGCAGCUAGAGUGUCGGAGAGGUAAGUGGAAUUCCCAGUGUAGCGGUGAAAUGCGUAGAUAUUGGGAGGAACACCAGUGGCGAAGGCGGCUUACUGGACGAUGACUGACGUUGAGGCUCGAAAGCGUGGGGAGCAAACAGGAUUAGAUACCCUGGUAGUCCACGCCGUAAACGAUGACUACUAGGUGUCGGGUGUCACAGACAUUCGGUGCCGCAGC